rnacentral:lncRNA from 1 species
UCACUCCAACCAAUCUGGAUUCAUAGAAUUUCUGUAAUCAUAGACUUCCUUUGUCCAAAACACACACAACUCUCAAUAAACAACAAUCAUAAUCUUCCAUCUAUAAUCAAUCUUCUAAUAACUUCUCAUAUAAUUCAAUUACAUAAUACUCCAAUUACAUAAUCAAUAACUCAUAAAUCAAUCUCUGAUUUAUUCUACAGACUCACUUCUC